UACGGGGGGAGCAAGCGUUGUUCGGAUUUACUGGGCGUAAAGGGCGCGUAGGCGGUCAGCACAAGUCAGUUGUGAAAUCUCCGGGCUUAACUCGGAAAGGUCAACUGAUACUGUGCGACUAGGGUGCGGAAGGGGCAACUGGAAUUCUCGGUGUAGCGGUGAAAUGCGUAGAUAUCGAGAGGAACACCUGCGGCGAAGGCGGGUUGCUGGGCCGACACUGACGCUGAGGCGCGAAAGCCAGGGGAGCGAACGGG
rnacentral:rRNA from 1 species